UACGUAGGGGGCUAGCGUUGUCCGGAAUUACUGGGCGUAAAGGGCGCGUAGGCGGCGACCCAAGUCAGAUGUGAAAGUCCUGGGCUUAACCUGGGGACUGCAUUUGAUACUGGGUUGCUUGAAUUCGGGAGAGGAUAGCGGAAUUCCCAGUGUAGAGGUGAAAUUCGUAGAUAUUGGGAAGAACACCGGUGGCGAAGGCGGCUAUCUGGACCGACAUUGACGCUGAGGCGCGAAAGCGUGGGGAGCAAACAGG
rnacentral:rRNA from 1 species